UGUAGUGUAGCGUAGAUUCGAGAGGAUAGAAAGAUGGUGGGGAAUUCUGAGAGGAAAGUGUACAGAUAGAUGGAUUAAUCACUUUAAGGGCCUUAGUUCAGUAUUGUUACAUGGAUAUUAUUAGGACAGAAUUGGAGGAAGUUAAAUUUUCGUGGAAUAACCAUCGCAUCAGGAGCCAGAAAAUGGGAGAUACUGUUCCUGGAAUUCCAGAAGUACUUUAUCAUGUUCCAGAAAUGUUAGGUCAGAUAUUUUUGGUACUCCAGAAUGUAAAAAUUACAUCCAUCCUCUCAAUGUGAAUGAGGAGAAGUUCAAGUUUUUGAAGAGCCAGUGCCGUUUUGAAAAUGACUUCGAUAAAGAUAUUAAGGAAGCAUUUGAUGUUAUCUGCAACUAUUACCGUCCUUCAUCAAUAUAUGAAGCCAAAGCAAUGUAUAUUUCACUGAAAGAUAUAUUGGAGCAGUAUAUAUAUAAUUGAUCAUAUAUGUGAAUUUUGGUAGUCUGACAAGUUCAAAGUCACUGACAGAAAACAGUUAAUAUAUAAAAUGAAGUUAAUUUUAAUUUUAUGCAUUCAUGAACAGUAGGAUUAUAUUUACUUUUUUGUAUUGAAAAAUUAUGACCUUUUGACCUUUUACUUUUCGGUGUUUAUGUAGAUUCAUUCCUUUUUAGCUAACCUGAGCUAUUCUGAUCAAGUGUUUGUCCAUUUUCCUCUUCAUCAUAGUCCUCAUUGUCAUAAACUUUUAUUGAAAUUGAAAAUUUAUUUACUUAAUCCUGAGUUGUUCCCCUUUUAUUGUAUUAUUAUAGUUGUUUCAGUCUGAUUGAUAAAAAUUCUAUUAUGUUAACUGUACAAGA